UAAAUAUCAUAUUGGGAAGAGUAAAUAAGUCGCUUUUUUAAGAGAGUGCAUGGCGCUGUGAAUGCAUAAAAGUCUUAUCGAAGGUAGCCCACUUGAACUUUGAUUGAACAUUUUUAGUAGGUCAAAGCGUUUCGUGAGCGUUAAUCAUUAGAGUGCAAUAGUUGUUGAACUAUUGAAAAUAGGUGGUACCACGGAACAUCCGUCCUAUAU
rnacentral:ncRNA from 1 species